rnacentral:misc_RNA from 1 species
GACGACCAUCUUCUGAGGCCAGAAUCAGAGCGUUGCGCCCAGGUGAGCCAUGAUCCCGGCAUCCCAGUCGCACUCCGUCCAGGCCCGCGCUGGCGCCCGAGUC